rnacentral:rRNA from 1 species
CCUGGUGCCAAUGGCGGUCUGGAACCACGCCGACCCAUCCCGAACUCGGUUGUGAAACAGGCCUGCGGCGAAGAUACUCUGGGGGUUGCCCCAUGGGAAAUUAGCUCGGUGCCAGGU